rnacentral:rRNA from 1 species
AUCAGCUAGUUGGUGAGGUAAUAGGCUACACCAAGGCGAAGACGGGUAGCUGGUCUGAGAGGAUGAUCAGCCACACUGGAACUGAGACACGGUCCAGACUCCUACGGGAGGCAGCAGUGGGAAGUAUUGCGCAAUGGGCGAAAGCCUGACGCAGCCACGCCGCGUGAGCGAUGAAGGUCUUCGGAUCGUAAAGCUCUGGUGGGGGAGAAGAAGAAAGUCGGUGAAGAGCCGGCCCUGACGGUAUCCCCUUAGCAAGCACCGGCUAACUCCGUGCCAGCAGCCGCGGUAAUACGGAGGGUGCAAACGUUGCUCGGAAUCAUUGGGCGUAAAGCGCGCGUAGGCGGCUGAACAAGUUGGAUGUGAAAGCCCCUGGGCUCAACCUAGGAUGUGCAUUCAAAACUGUUCGGCUUGAGUCUCGGAGGGGGUCAGAGAAUUCUCGGUGUAGAGGUGAAAUUCGUAGAUAUCGGGA